rnacentral:lncRNA from 1 species
UGGCAUUAACGAUUGACCAAAACUUCAUAUCUUAGAUCAUCCCGAAAGAAAUUUUUGCGUUUAUUAAUUUUUGUUCUCUUCUAACAAUUGCAAAAUUCUUUCAUAUUGAUAAUCCUCUAAACAAGAAAAUGUAUAGAAAGCCGGAGAGUAACAAAGGCAUAGAAACAAAAACACCCUUGUUCAAAAUUCCAGCCCCGCGUGGUUCUUCUUCGAUAAUUGGCUCUAACUUGGAACAACGUGAAGAUCUCUUAUAAUGUGAUUGUAGGACUAGGAGGGUUGGUGCAACUUCACCCCAAAAUUUGUUAAUGGACUUCACCUUGUUCACCAUUUGUGAUUGAAACUUUGGCAGAGUCCUUUGCUCUUUAGAAUAAUGUAAUUAAGGCUCCUUUGAAGAAUGAUUGAAGUGGAGAUAGAGGGAAUUGAAAUUGCUAAAUGUUAUUGAAGGUUGAAGCAUUUGAAUGAGAAUAGGACACGAUACACACCUGCUUUAUAUAGGGC